rnacentral:rRNA from 1 species
CCUACGGGAGGCAGCAGUGAGGAAUAUUGGUCAAUGGACGAGAGUCUGAACCAGCCAAGUAGCGUGAAGGAUGACUGCCCUAUUGGUUGUAAACUUCUUUUAUAUGGGAAUAAAAUGUUCCACGUGUGGGAUUUUGUAUGUACCAUAUGAAUAAGGAUCGGCUAACUCCGUGCCAGCAGCCGCGGUAAUACGGAGGAUCCGAGCGUUAUCCGGAUUUAUUGGGUUUAAAGGGAGCGUAGGUGGAUUGUUAAGUCAGUUGUGAAAGUUUGCGGCUCAACCGUAAAAUUGCAGUUGAAACUGGCAGUCUUGAGUACAGUAGAGGUGGGUGGAAUUCGUGGUGUAGCGGUGAAAUGCUUAGAUAUCACGAAGAACUCCGAUUGCGAAGGCAGUUCACUGGACUGCAACUGACACUGAGGCUCGAAAGUGUGGGUAUCAAACAGGAUUAGAUACCCCAGUAGUC